rnacentral:sRNA from 1 species
AAAGCUUGCAUGUUCAUAUUAACGAAAUUCUGCAAUGUGUGAUAAAUAGAUGAGUCUAAUAGCAGACCAGAAUUCUUUUGGAACCAACUCAGUUAAACCAUGAGACUAAAAUUAGAUAAAUGGAAAGAGGACCACCAAAGAAUACAAGUUUGUCUGCGAUUAAAUACAAAUUUGUGUUUGUUUAGUUGCUGGUCCUAGUUGGGAUGGUUUUUAUGAUGAGUUGACUUUCUCUUUUAAUUUUUGGUCAUUGUAGCAAAUGACAAAGACCUUAUAACCGUUGAUUAUUCCUUGCACCUUGAAGGUGCCAUUUUCUCACUCCCAGCCAAAUGAUGGUUUUCGUCGGUGGUCACUUUUGCUGUACUUUCUUUAAUAAUAAUGGCAUUGUCAUUAAUCGUUCUGUUUAUCUCUAAUAAAUCGAAUAACUUGCAGAAGUCUUACCUUCUGUCUGUACACUGAUCUGCACGACGCUCUCUAACUAACUCAAUUUCUGCGUCCGAUCAU